UUGUCAUGGUUCUUUCUCCCCACCAUCCCCUCUUCCCAUCAUCCACACAGUCAUAUCUUCCCAGGAGUGAAGGAUUUCCCUUUCUCAGUCCAACCCCUGUUCCUUCUCACCUGGAGAGAAAACUCAGUGAUGCACAAUCAAGACAUAAAAACCUGGCAAGUUACCUGAAGAGAUUCAAAGAACAUCUCAAGAAUGAAGGGGAGAAAGAUAGAAGCAAAUUUUUGAAAGGCAUGAGUGACAAGGACAUAACAAAAUACAUAGAUGGCCAGUCAGAGACUAAUACUCCUAAAACAAACCAAGCCUCAGAGCCUGAG